CUUAUGUUGGUUGCACUCGACAGUCAGACAGAGAUAUGACAUUAUAGGUUUCACGUCCAACAAGUCGUAACUUUCAUAAGAAACAAAUUAAAAAGUUAAACAACGCAGAUCGGAUAAUGAGUCAACUGUUUAUAAUGUCAGCUGAAGUUGUUGUAUGACCUUGCCAACUGGGGCCAAUAAAGCAGCCAAUAAUGCAAGCUAUGUCUUCUGAAGCUAAAUAAUUUCUGUUGCAAGUUGUAAAUCUUCAAGAUAUUGGUGCCUUCGCCAGAUCCAAUUCUUUACUGCAAUCUAUUUUGAGGACGCCAGCAAGAAAAAGCUGCUACUCAAGAUUUUAUGGUGACCACCACUGAGUUCUAAUUUAAGACAAUGUAAGAUUGAUAGAUUUGAGGUUAAUCCCUCACCGCCGUUAUAGUUGUUUGGAAACUGACGAGAGAUUGCUGGAACUGAAGAUUGAUAAUUUGUGUAGACUUAGAUAAAUUACAAGUGCAUAUCUGGGCUCCCUUCUUUUCUGUGGCCCCGUUUCCCUAACUAACCAAUAACCAACGCCCGCCGGUGGUCACUCACCCGCUGUGAUAACCAGGAGGAUGAGGAGGGCUCUGGUCGAACGGGGACUUGGAAGGCGCAUGAUCCGAGGGAACUUUUUGAGGGUCACGAGUCUAACUAAGAAGCCUACUAUGACUAAUUGCUUCCUAGCAAAACUGGCCUUACACUCAUCUCUCUUCUUCACUGGCCAGGUAAUCUCCCUGGUCGCAGUCAAUUAAGUCAGUGUUUCCCCCUGUCUUCUUUGACUGCAAUUACAAGUCAGUAAAACAUAGCAAAUUACAAUUUUGGUACACACAGUGAUCACCGUGUUUGACACUUGGAACUGUUCACUUCAACUCCUGCAUUAAAAAUUAUGCAAUUCAUG